GGGGGUGAAAGGGCUCGACUUAGGUAGAUCGGGUAAGAGCAGCAUGCCGCGGACGUAAGGUUUGCCGCGUUAACAAUCCUUGCACAAUAUAAACGCAAACGUAUACACGUUUAACCGUUUGCCAACGAUGCAACCAGCAAUGGUUACACCGAUGGUAGCGGGCGUAUCAGCCUUUAGCUUACACUAAGCUAAAGCCUCUCCUUAGGCAGCCUGUGGCCUAAACGAGAGCCCUAACAGGCUGGCCGCGCAAGAUUCGCCUUUGAGUGCGUGGUAAGAUCUUAAAAGGCUGCGGCUUGCGAGAUCCUGUUUAUCGGAGAGCGCGAGAUUAAGAGUAAUAGAUAAACUGAGCAUGGAGCGGCUUUUAUUCGGGUACUUAGGGACUCCGGUUCAAUUCCGGACACCUCCACCA
rnacentral:tmRNA from 1 species